CUUUGGUAUGAAAUACCAUGAACUGUUAGUGAUGAUUUACGUUUGUUGUUCAGAAUUCAGUUGUUUACUCACUAAGUUUAUGACGUCUCCUCCAGCGAACUGAUCCGAUGAUGAGCUCGUGGAGUUAUCAAUAAACUAGCUGGAGUAUUCUCCUUUUUUUCUGCUUGACAUAUGGCUUGUCGGACAGGUUUCAUGUCUGUAGCUCCAUUAAUAAUGUAGUCCACACAGCAGCCGUCUGGAGCACGCUGAAGCGUAGUUUGGUUGCUUAGCAACCGUGGAAACCUCCUCCAGAAAAGAUCAUUGUAGAACAGAAAGAGUUUAUAGUUUGUACAUUUUUAUUUUUAUAAGGGAAGCUAUUGUUUUUAAUGCAUAAAGCUGUACAUAAUAUUUAAAAAGAAGGAUUAUAAAACAUACAAGCCUCAGACUGACACAAUCACAAAACUACGUCAUCUUUUCUUUAUUUAAAUCGAUUGGUCCAAUGACUGUUAUUCGGGGCGUGGCUAUCUUUGAAUGCUGCUUUCUGAUUGGCUACGUACUGAAAACACACUACACUAGUUAACUACAGUGAAGUUUAGACCCAGCCAGCGAAGUUAUUUGAAGUUUUACUACAGUUAAAGUGUAGGUUGAAAUUUUUUUUCAACAGUAUAAUGUACAAUACGUUUUUAUCGUAGAAGCGGGACUUUAUACGUGGACCAAUGAUUUAACUCUGUGACAGGAGAAGAAAAGCCGCCGUUGUUCGAACUGGAUCGCCUAACGCUUCCCAGAUUUCCUGUUCCUGUGUGGAAUAAUUACCGAGGGCUGCUAACAGGAGAGGUAGUGACGCAAAACACAAAAUAUAUAAAAGCAGCUGUGUGGACUGGCGCUCGGGACUGCAUCUUAGCCCGCAUGGACUUACCUGGCCCUUGCUGUAACAAAUUUAGCCACAUUUAAAGGAUUUU
rnacentral:lncRNA from 1 species